AAACGACGACAAAGCAAAGUGCUGGUGUUCGCGUGUCUGCAAAUUUUCCAUAAAAAAGUGAUAAUUUUCGCUGUAAAUCUUCACCGAUUUAGCGAAUUUUUAAAGUUGAACACUAGUGCUACACCGAGUUCCUUACGCUAAACACCCUGCGUGCCAUUCGCUACACCAGCUACGCUACAGCUAGUCGCAGUUUAGAUGGAUAAGAUGGCACGUUACCGUGAGUGGGACCUGCAGUGCAAGGUUUACGUGGGCAAUUUAGGCUCCUCUGCGUCGAAGCACGAAAUAGAAAGUGCGUUCGGCAAGUAUGGCCCACUGCGGAACGUCUGGGUAGCCCGGAACCCGCCCGGAUUCGCGUUCGUCGAGUUCGAGGACAAACGCGACGCAGAAGACGCAGUUCGUUCGCUUGACGGAACGCGAUGCUGUGGUACCCGGAUACGGGUAGAGAUGUCCUCGGGACGCUCGCGUCGUGAUGACCGCACCCGCCGACCCCGCCGUUCGUACAGGGCAAACUCUUCUAUGAUACUCCACGACCGCGACGUCUACCGUCACAGUACAUCAUGUUGUCUUAAUUUUGCUAGUAGCGCUACUAGUGCUAAGACUACUACCGCAACACCAUCAUCAAUUCCACCAAUUUUACCACCACCACCAUCCACCACCAAAAAUACAACCAAUACUACCUUCACCACCACCACCACUACUACUGCUACUACUUCUGCUACGAGCGAGUGCUCCCGCUGCCCGGUCUCCUCCAGACGCGCAGCAGCAGCAGUUCGGUCGUUACGCGGCGCCGUCUACGGUGGGCUUCUACCUUCUUCACCACUGCAAGCGCCGCUCCCCGUGCCACUGGCAACUGCAGGAGGAAAGCUGGGUGCUCUCUUCUGCGCCGGGCUUCAGCGACAGCAGCGGCCAUCCCAUUCUGCGGCCUUCAGUUGUGCAGUUUGCUUGCUCUUCCUUUUCUUCUACUGCUACUAUCACCACCACCACCACCUCUUCUGCCAUCGUCACCACUUCCGUCUCGUCCGUUCUGCCCACCACGAGCUGCCGGGGACAGCAGCAGCAGCAGCAUCGAACGCAAAAACCGCCCAGCAGCGCCAUUCGUCGCUUCCGUGGACCGUUUUCAUUACAACUUGAGGCAACGACCACACGACCGCCGCCGGCUGAGCCUGAUGAGCCGCUUCCGGUGAUCGUGCGCCUGCUUCACCCUUGCAACUUGUCCUCUUCGAGGUGUCCUUGCCGUUCGCUGGCUAGCCUGCGACGACACCGCGAGGAGGGAUGAACCGCUGUACGGUCCGAUCCGGUUUCGUAUCGCCUUGACCGAACUGGCUGCUCGCGUCACAUGCAACGCCGCGCACCACACCCGUGUGUCCAUCGGAUGCCUGCUAAUGCUGCUCUCGCUGACAGUAGCCUAACUUCUUACACACAAGUUCGCCACGAUCUCCACAUGUCACCGCUGUUGCUGCUGUCGAGGGCUCGAACACACACACAGACAAACGAACCACCGCGGCCGCCAGCUACUACUGCGCUUCCUUCGCAGCGGACCUUCCCUCCCGGAGUCCGGGGAUGGAGGGCGACCACCACGGGAUGAUAGAGUGCAGCGUCAGCUUUAACUGGGGCUACCAACCUGCGAUUGCUACCCUCGGCCAACUCUCCGUCGUCUGGUGGUUUCCUCCCUCUCCGGAAGUCUCGGAUUUUUUUUUCUUUUCUUUUUCUUUGUCUCUCUUUCCCAGCCGAUACGCCCUUCGAUUCGUUUGCAAGUGUCGCAUUAUUGUAGCAUGUAGCGAUGCGCGUCCGAUGAGGGUUAAUGGGUCACCCGUUCGAGCCCACAUUGGCAACACAUUUAUCAUCAUCAUCGGGCUUCUUCUCGUACCUUGCACAACUGCCAACUUUAUUAUCAUCACUGCGACUACUACCACCCCUGCCUACCAAUCACCUACCACCAGCCCAGCUCUGCUACCACCGUACUACUUACCUACUACUUCUACUACUACUACUGCUACUACUGCUACCACCAUCACCAAACAUCAAUAGAACAUCCCUGCUAAAGAAACCGAGGUCGCAGGAAAAUGAACCUCUAGUUCGACGAGCUGCUACUGCGCUAUGUACGGGCAACGUUGGGAUCUUCUCCUGCAAUUUGGCUCUCGACUGUGAACAGCCACUAGCUCCAGCUAUGUUUUGCUUCUUGGCCUUUGCACGAGCCACCAGCUUUAGAGCACCAAUACGGGCCAAGUUUGGACCUCUUCUUCUAAUACACUCCACAAGUGAGAGCUUCAAACUUCAUUGCGAUUGAUUGCUCGCUAGCAGCAGCAGCAGCAUCAGCAACAACAUCUAUCCCAGCCCAGAGCCACCACCGUGUACCGAUGUGUAAGUUUACCGUUAACAACAGGCGCGGCCACCCAACCUUUCCAUCCGAGUAUUCUCCUUACUUCCUUGCGGCCUCACAUUUUCUUCUAAUACUACUUUACUUCAGUUCGAUGAAAAUUAGCCAUCCGCGAAGAUCCCAAAUCCUAGUGCUGCAAAAAUAACUGCUCCAAUCCCGACACUCCCCUUGUACGUCGUGCGACGCCACCAACCACCAUCAUCAUCACCAUCAUCAUCUCACGGACGACAACAACAGUACGAAGAAAUCACCAACAUUAUAUGUUCGUCCCCACAACCAAUUUUAAGCGAACGUCAUCGACGUGCUCUCGAUCGAGUGCCGAUCAUCCUCAUCGACAUUGCCACACUUCUGCCGCUAGCGCAACAUAUUAUCGUGACCGCGGGAGGGACAACUUUGGUGGGAAAUAACCUCUCUUCUCACACACAACCGCGCUUUAUGCUGGUGUUCGGAUGAUCGCACAGGGCGUUAAUGCUGCAAGCUUCCGUGGGUUCUUCCGUCCAUCUUCUUCCAAACAACUUUUCUCCGCACACUAAAAAUCAACUUGAUCGUCGAAAUAUUGCCAUCACGAUACUCAACACGACCAAACCACUCAACACCAAAGUGCAUCCUUCGUCGACGAGGCUUCUUCGUUACACCGUGCAGUAGGCGCUGGACAGCUUUUAUUGAGCUGAAACAGCGUGGUGAGUCCGUUGCGCUGCUGUGGACACAAAGAAGGUGGUUUUUUGCGGUUUUCUUCUUUUUUCUUCACGGAGCUCUCGAUGUGGCAUCUCUUCAACCCGUCUCUUCUUACACACAAACACACACAUACUCGUGCGUUCCCGGCAUUACGUCCACUGCCUGGCCUGGCAGCUUUAGCUCGCUAUCGCCGAAAUUAACAACACAUCGGCGCAAAUCGUCCGAGCGGGCAUCAGAAUGCCCGCACGUCCCCCCCAAAAGAACGUUGAUAGUAGGGAAUGGCCAGAUAGGCAAGACAGAAAAUGUGUCCCUUCACCAUCACCACCACCACCAACUACACACAACCACCACCGCCUACUGCUGUGCAUCCAACCAUCUCGAAUGCUCCACAUCGUGUGUGCUCGCUUUCUCUACUCAUCUCUUCUUCCGUUUCCGGAAAAGAUCACGAUCUCCGCGCCGUUCCCGGACGCGUAGCCGUAGCAUGAGCCGUGAGCGCGAGCGCGAUCGCCGCAGCCGCAGCGGAUCUCGCGAUCGUCGCUAGAUCGAGCGCGCGCAGGUGACGAAUACGAUGUUAGAGCAGACUCUCGGUAAACUCCUAGUGUGUUUGUGUUGUGAUGCCCUCCAAAGGUCGCGAUCGCGAAACGCCGGAACACAGAACAAUAGUAUAACGUACAACACUAAAGCAAUUACUACUACAACGGAAACGUAACUGGACAGAGCGAUUGACAAAGGAUCGACCGAAACGCAGCAAGGAGCUAGUUCCGCGAGUGUAAAUUGGAGGUGACGCAAUUCAGGACGACAACUUGUUGUCAACUUUAUUAUUUUUAAAUUACGAGUGACCACGUGAAAUUUAAAGCAUAACACGGACACGAUAUCUUGUCGGUGACGGUACGGGCUGUUGUUGCUGCUAAUACUGAUACCAAAAACGUUGGUAGUGUGUAGUAGUAGUAGCAGCACUGGCCGCGGGUUUCCGCACGAAUCGCUACCCCUUUUCUUUUACUUUUGUAACUCUGCCGGGUAAGCGAAGGUGCGGUUCUCAGCAUGAGUGGAGAAAAAGAAGGUGUUGGAUAACGUUUAGAGGACAGUUCAUCAAACUUUGUUGGAGCGAGUGAAGCAUGCUCCUCCUCCCUGUAACCGCAACGAAUUGUGAACGGCAUUUUGUUGAGUUAUUUCAUCGGUAUUCUUAUGUGUGUUCACUCGCAUCUUCGUUGUGCUCUCAUCGACUCCGAUUAGUUUACCCGACGAUGACAGAUAGCCAGAAGGGCAAAACUUUGAUUUUAGAAGUUUUUGCGAAGCUCAACAACCGGCGGUGCGCCGCGUGGUGAGCGUUAUUUGAUCUUCAGUAGAGACACUAUUACAAAAUCCAAUCCCCUCAUAAACUCACGCCAGGAGAGGGCUCGUGUAGCGUCUUGUGUUCUGUUUGGCUGCUCAUUGAGCCGUCCACGUAUUGCACACAGAAAAGCAUGGCGCACACCCCACCCUGCACAUCAACCUUUUCCCGUUGGUGGGAGAAUUCUUAUAUAGCAUGUAGAGAACUUAUUCGUAAAGUACGGUAUGAUACAUAAUGAGAAAUAGAUAUGGUACGGACAAGU